UACAGAGGUCUCAAGCGUUGUUCGGAUUUAUUGGGUUUAAAGGGUGCGUAGGCGGUUGAUUAAGUCAGUUGUGAAAUACGGCAGCUUAACUGUCGAGGUGCAAUUGAUACUGGUUGACUUGAGUACAGACGAGGUAGGCGGAAUUGACGGUGUAGCGGUGAAAUGCAUAGAUAUCGUCAAGAACACCGAUAGCGAAGGUAGCUUACUAGACUGUAACUGACGCUGAGGCACGAAAGUGUGGGGAUCAAACAGG
rnacentral:rRNA from 1 species